rnacentral:miRNA from 1 species
UGAAGUAGAGCAGGGACCUCA